rnacentral:rRNA from 1 species
UACGUAGGUGGCAAGCGUUGUCCGGAUUUACUGGGCGUAAAGAGCGCGCAGGCGGUCGUUCAAGUCGCGUGUGAAAGCCCCCGGCUCAACUGGGGAGGGUCACGCGAUACUGAUCGACUCGAAGGCAGGAGAGGGUAGUGGAAUUCCUGGUGUAGCGGUGAAAUGCGCAGAUAUCAGGAGGAACACCGGUGGCGAAGGCGGGUCUCUGGGCCGUAACUGACGCUGAGGAGCGAAAGCAUGGGGAGCGAACAGG